AAAAUGUCUCAAGUAUCACGUGAUGAUUGUUUGAUCACAUGACUUGUUAUUAACUACCGCCAAUGGGAGUGUCUCUGGCAACUUUGAAAGUUCUGGUGAUGAUACUGUGGCAUUAGUUAAACAUGAUAAAACUGAACCUGAUGUUACUAUAGCAGCACCAGACCGGACUCAUUUACUAGGAGAGGUAAGGUUGAUAUAAACACAGUA